rnacentral:rRNA from 1 species
CCUACGGGAGGCAGCAGUGGGGAAUUUYGGACAAUGGGCGCAAGCCUGAUCCAGCCAUGCCGCGUGAGUGAAGAAGGCUUCGGGUUGUAAAGCUCUUUCGGCCGGGAAGAAAUCGUGGUCUCUAACAUAGGCCAUGGAUGACGGUACCGGACUAAGAAGCACCGGCUUAUVUUAMGUGSCCAGCAGCCGCGGUAAU